rnacentral:ncRNA from 1 species
CCACUCUGGAAAGCGAUCCGCUCGUGCGGAUCCGCCGACGGUGAAAGCCGAGUCAUCCUGAUCGAUGUCUCGGCGAAACUCUCAGGCAGAUGACAGAGGGGGAGUU